UUUCUCUCUGUUCCUCCCCCUGCUCAUGCUCUCUCAAAGAUAAACAUUACAAAAAUAAAAUAAAAAAAUAAAAUACUAUGACACAACUCUGUGAGUUAGAGGUAUCAGUAUAUUUAAUGAAACUAGCCAUUAGUGCAAAAUGGCUUAUAAAAUGGUGAGCCAGACUGGCGUUUUUCAAACUGUGUCAUAGGAAACUUUUUCCAAAGCCACCCAGGGCCUUGCAGGAUGAGCAAGCAGACAGAGCCCUGAGAUUCUUCUUUAUCCCAUCCUCUUAUAUCAGAGCCACUCCAUGUUUUUUACAUAUUGAACUUUAACAUGCUUGCUGCUUUUGAAUUAUCAGAUGAAUUUUAAGGGUCCAUCCUGGUAAAUAUUCUAUUAUGCUAAGAUUGAAUAUUUUUAUAUUUAUAUUGAAUACAUUUGUAUAUAGAUUGUCCUUUAUUUUCUAGUCUUAGGUUGUCAAAAUCCACUCACUUUUCCAGUGAGCAUAUCAAUUCACCUAUAGCAGUAAUCUAUUCCAUUGUUGCAUUUAUUUCCCCCAAUGUGAACCUAGCGACCAGUUUCAUCUACAGUAUGACUGCCUCCUCCACAGCAGUGUUUACAACAGACCAUCUAAGUCAGAAACAUCUUUGUCUUAGAAAUGUUCAUUUCUGUGUUGAAUCUCCACACUAAUACCCAUGAUUCAAUCCUACCAACCACUUGGGAUUCCAGAUGUGACAUUUUUCUGCCUUUAUGUAUUCUCCUCCAAACAAAACAAAACAACAAAAUUUUGAUCUCUCGCUUCUUAAAAUCUGGAUAACCUGGUGUCUCUGCCUUAGUCCCUAGUUGGCAGUCAUAAAUUUUCCACCAUUCUCUGGUUUUUCUGACUUGCUUAAAAUCCAGACUCUAUAAUCUAGUUGGUAAAUCUUAAUCCUCAACUAGAUGUUUCUGUCCCAGCCCUAUGGCUGCCCAUUUUUGUUUAUUACAAGGUUGGGCUUAUGUACCUUUGGUCCAGAGGAAGGAGGACCGCGCAACUGGUGUAGCCCCAAAUUAUUGCUCCAGGGGUUCCCCUCAGGGAUGGAGGUGUUAUGGAACCUCAAAUGCCCCCAAUAGGGGCACUCCUAAUUGGCUGAGCUAGGGCAGUAAAAACCUUCAGGAAGCAGGAAGGAGACACAAGGAAUGGGAAAAAGAGGCAGGGGGAUAAAUUAGUACUUUCUAUACAAUUGCACCUAUUCCAAUGGUUGGCAAUUAGCCAGGCACUAUUUUCUAUCCUUUUAUUUAGUCAUGAACAAGGUACAUUCUACCUUAAGUAACAGUCAUUCUUAACAGAAGAUCCUUGUCACAGUUGAUAGUCCUAUCUAGAUCCUUUUGUGUCCAGCUAAGGACCUCAAUUGUAUUCUAGAACCUCCUGAGGGUCUUUGGCUGGUAGUCAUAAUUGUGGUUUCACACUGUUGUUGUUUUUAAAGGUGAAGGGGAUUAUACUGCGGAAAAAUGACUUUUCCUUCCUUUUCAAAAGCAGGGCAGUUGAUUUCUAUAAUGAGAACUUGUAAAUGCAUAGGCUUCUUUUCAACCUUUAUAUUCAAAUUUUCUGCACAUUUAAGAGUAGAAAUGCAUAAUUUCCAUAUAUAUUUACUUUUGUACGGCAUACCUUACAAAACAUUUUU